rnacentral:rRNA from 1 species
CGCGCAGGCGGCCAGGUCAGUCGAAUGUGAAAGCCCCCGGCUCAACUGGGGAGGGUCAUUCGAUACUGCCUGGCUUGAAGAUAGGAGAGGGAAGCGGAAUUUCAGGUGUAGUGGCGAAAUGCGUAGAUAUCUGAAGGAACACCAGUGGCGAAGGCGGCUUUCUGGCCUAUUCUUGACGCUGAGGCGCGAAAGCUAGGGGAGCGAACG